CCAAUAGCGUAUAUUAAAGUUGUUGCAGUUAAAAAGCUCGUAGUUGAAUUUCGGGAUUGACACAUCGGUCGUGCCUUAAGGGGUGUGAACUGGUGUAGUCAAUUUCUCACCUUCUGGAGAACCGCGAUGUCCUUAAUUGGGUGCCGCGAGGAACCAGGACCUUUACUUUGAAAAAAUUAGAGUGUUUAAAGCAGGCAUUUUUGCUUGAAUACAUUAGCAUGGAAUAAUAAAAUAGGAAGGCAUGAUUCUAUUUUGUUGGUUUCUAGGAUCACCGUAAUGAUUAAUAGGGAUAGUUGGGGGCAUUAGUAUUCAAUUGUCAGAGGUGAAAUUCUUGGAUUUAUUGAAGACUAACUACUGCGAAAGCAUUUGCCAAGGAUGUUUUCAUUAAUCAAGAACGAAAGUUAGGGGAUCGAAGACGAUCAGAUACCGUCGUAGUCUUAACCAUAAACUAUGCCGACUAGGAAUCAGACGAUGUUAAUUUUUUAAUGACUCGUUUGGCACCUUACG
rnacentral:misc_RNA from 1 species